GUAUUGAUCGCGUGUGACCGCAAAAAUAAACAUUCUAGACUGUAUCGAGUUUUAUGUGAAAACGCGAGCCCUCCCGCAAAGGGGGACCCACGCGGUGAUGCACAAAGGGUGAGAUGGAUUGUGGGAGAGCGCUCGGGCGUGCACGACCUCUGAAGGUCAGCGACAGCCCUCGCACCUCGGUUGUACGAUAAUGAUCCUUCCGCAGGUUCACCUACGGAAA
rnacentral:misc_RNA from 1 species